rnacentral:rRNA from 1 species
UUGAACGCUGGCGGCAGGCCUAACACAUGCAAGUCGAACGGUAACAGGAAACAGCUUGCUGUUUCGCUGACGAGUGGCGGACGGGUGAGUAAUGUCUGGGAAACUGCCUGAUGGAGGGGGAUAACUACUGGAAACGGUAGCUAAUACCGCAUAACGUCGCAAGACCAAAGAGGGGGACCUUCGGGCCUCUUGCCAUCGGAUGUGCCCAGAUGGGAUUAGCUUGUUGGUGGGGUAACGGCUCACCAAGGCGACGAUCCCUAGCUGGUCUGAGAGGAUGACCAGCCACACUGGAACUGAGACACGGUCCAGACUCCUACGGGAGGCAGCAGUGGGGAAUAUUGCACAAUGGGCGCAAGCCUGAUGCAGCCAUGCCGCGUGUAUGAAGAAGGCCUUCGGGUUGUAAAGUACUUUCAGCGGGGAGGAAGGGAGUAAAGUUAAUACCUUUGCUCAUUGACGUUACCCGCAGAAGAAGCACCGGCUAACUCCGUGCCAGCAGCCGCGGUAAUACGGAGGGUGCAAGCGUUAAUCGGAAUUACUGGGCGUAAAGCGCACGCAGGCGGUUUGUUAAGUCAGAUGUGAAAUCCCCGGGCUCAACCUGGGAACUGCAUCUGAUACUGGCAAGCUUGAGUCUCGUAGAGGGGGGUAGAAUUCCAGGUGUAGCGGUGAAAUGCGUAGAGAUCUGGAGGAAUACCGGUGGCGAAGGCGGCCCCCUGGACGAAGACUGACGCUCAGGUGCGAAAGCGUGGGGAGCAAACAGGAUUAGAUACCCUGGUAGUCCACGCCGUAAACGAUGUCGACUUGGAGGUUGUGCCCUUGAGGCGUGGCUUCCGGAGCUAACGCGUUAAGUCGACCGCCUGGGGAGUACGGCCGCAAGGUUAAAACUCAAAUGAAUUGACGGGGGCCCGCACAAGCGGUGGAGCAUGUGGUUUAAUUCGAUGCAACGCGAAGAACCUUACCUGGUCUUGACAUCCACGGAAGUUUUCAGAGAUGAGAAUGUGCCUUCGGGAACCGUGAGACAGGUGCUGCAUGGCUGUCGUCAGCUCGUGUUGUGAAAUGUUGGGUUAAGUCCCGCAACGAGCGCAACCCUUAUUCUUUGUUGCCAGCGGUCCGGCCGGGAACUCAAAGGAGACUGCCAGUGAUAAACUGGAGGAAGGUGGGGAUGACGUCAAGUCAUCAUGGCCCUUACGACCAGGGCUACACACGUGCUACAAUGGCGCAUACAAAGAGAAGCGACCUCGCGAGAGCAAGCGGACCUCAUAAAGUGCGUCGUAGUCCGGAUUGGAGUCUGCAACUCGACUCCAUGAAGUCGGAAUCGCUAGUAAUCGUGGAUCAGAAUGCCACGGUGAAUACGUUCCCGGGCCUUGUACACACCGCCCGUCACACCAUGGGAGUGGGUUGCAAAAGAAGUAGGUAGCUUAACCUUCGGGAGGGCGCUUACCACUUUGUGAUUCAUGACUGGGGUG